rnacentral:rRNA from 1 species
GUACGACAAGUAGGGCGGGACACGUGAAAUCCUGUCUGAAGAUGGGGGGACCAUCCUCCAAGGCUAAAUACUCGUGAUCGACCGAUAGUGAACCAGUACCGUGAGGGAAAGGCGAAAAGAACCCCGGGAGGGGAGUGAAAUAGAUCCUGAAACCGCAUGCAUACAAACAGUCGGAGCCUCGUAAGGGGUGACGGCGUACCUUUUGUAUAAUGGGUCAGCGACUUACGUUCAGUAGCAAGCUUAACCGUAUAGGGCAGGCGUAGCGAAAGCGAGUCCGAAUAGGGCGUUCAGUUGCUGGGCGUAGACCCGAAACCAGGUGAUCUAUCCAUGGCCAGGAUGAAGGUGCGGUAACACGUACUGGAGGUCCGAACCCACUAACGUUGAAAAGUUAGGGGAUGAGCUGUGGAUAGGGGUGAAAGGCUAAACAAACCUGGAAAUAGCUGGUUCUCUCCGAAAACUAUUUAGGUAGUGCCUCGUGUCUCACCUUCGGGGGUAGAGCACUGUCAUGGUUGGGGGGUCUAUUGCAGAUUACCCCGCCAUAGCAAACUCCGAAUACCGAAGAGUGCAAUCACGGGAGACAGACAUCGGGUGCUAACGUCCGGUGUCAAGAGGGAAACAACCCAGACCGCCAGCUAAGGUCCCCAAAUAUAGCUAAGUGGGAAACGAAGUGGGAAGGCUAAAACAGUCAGGAGGUUGGCUUAGAAGCAGCCACCCUUUAAAGAAAGCGUAAUAGCUCACUGAUCGAGUCGUCCUGCGCGGAAGAUGUAACGGGGCUAAGCUAUAUACCGAAGCUGCGGAUGCGAGCUAGUCUCGCAUGGUAGGAGAGCGUUCCGUAAGCCUGCGAAGGUGCCUUGUAAAGGGUGCUGGAGGUAUCGGAAGUGCGAAUGCUGACAUGAGUAGCGAUAAAGGGGGUGAAAGGCCCCCUCGCCGUAAGCCCAAGGUUUCCUACGCAACGUUCAUCGGCGUAGGGUGAGUCGGCCCCUAAGGCGAGGCAGAAAUGCGUAGCUGAUGGGAAGCAGGUCAAUA